rnacentral:rRNA from 1 species
ACGUGGGCAACCUGCCUGUAAGACUGGGAUAACUCCGGGAAACCGGGGCUAAUACCGGAUAAUAUCUAUUUAUACAUAUAAUUAGAUUGAAAGAUGGUUCUGCUAUCACUUACAGAUGGGCCCGCGGCGCAUUAGCUAGUUGGUGAGGUAACGGCUCACCAAGGCGACGAUGCGUAGCCGACCUGAGAGGGUGAUCGGCCACACUGGGACUGAGACACGGCCCAGACUCCUACGGGAGGCAGCAGUAGGGAAUCUUCCGCAAUGGACGAAAGUCUGACGGAGCAACGCCGCGUGAGUGAUGAAGGUUUUCGGAUCGUAAAACUCUGUUGUUAGGGAAGAACAAGUAUCGGAGUAACUGCCGGUACCUUGACGGUACCUAACCAGAAAGCCACGGCUAACUACGUGCCA